GUGCCAGCCGCUGCGGUAACACGUAGGGCGCAAGCGUUGUCCGGAAUUAUUGGGCGUAAAGAGCUCGUAGGCGGUUCGUCGCGUCUGCUGUGAAAACCCGAGGCUCAACCUCGGGCCUGCAGUGGGUACGGGCGAACUAGAGUGUGGUAGGGGAGACUGGAAUUCCUGGUGUAGCGGUGGAAUGCGCAGAUAUCAGGAGGAACACCAAUGGCGAAGGCAGGUCUCUGGGCCACAACUGACGCUGAGGAGCGAAAGCGUGGGAGCGAACAGGAUAGAUACCGUGUAGUCCACGCCGUAAACGGUGGGCACUAGAUGUGGGCUCUUUCCAUGAGUUCCGCGUCGUAGCUAACGCA
rnacentral:rRNA from 1 species